GAUGAACGCUGGCGGCGUGCCUAAUACAUGCAAGUCGAGCGAACAGACGAGGAGCUUGCUCCUCUGACGUUAGCGGCGGACGGGUGAGUAACACGUGGAUAACCUACCUAUAAGACUGGGAUAACUUCGGGAAACCGGAGCUAAUACCGGAUAAUAUAUUGAACCGCAUGGUUCAAUAGUGAAAGACGGUUUUGCUGUCACUUAUAGAUGGAUCCGCGCCGCAUUAGCUAGUUGGUAAGGUAACGGCUUACCAAGGCAACGAUGCGUAGCCGACCGGAGAGGGUGAUCGGCCACACUGGAACUGGGACACGGUCCAGACUCCUACGGGAGGCAGCAGUAGGGAAUCUUCCGCAAUGGGCGAAAGCCUGACGGAGCAACGCCGCGUGAGUGAUGAAGGUCUUCGGAUCGUAAAACUCUGUUAUUAGGGAAGAACAAAUGUGUAAGUAACUAUGCACGUCUUGACGGUACCUAAUCAGAAAGCCACGGCUAACUACGUG
rnacentral:rRNA from 1 species